UCGACCUCAGAUCAGGUAGGGAUACCCGCUGACUUAA
rnacentral:rRNA from 1 species